ACUCCUACGGGAGGCAGCAGUGAGGAAUUUUGGACAAUGGGCGCAAGCCUGAUCCAGCAAUGCCGCGUGUGUGAAGAAGGCCUUCGGGUUGUAAAGCACUUUUGUCCGGAAAGAAAUCCGUCUGGCUAAUACCCGGACGGGAUGACGGUACCGGAAGAAUAAGCACCGGCUAACUACGUGCCAGCAGCCGCGGUAA
rnacentral:rRNA from 1 species